rnacentral:rRNA from 1 species
GAUGAACGCUGGCGGCGUGCCUAAUACAUGCAAGUCGAGCGAACGGACGAGAAGCUUGCUUCUCUGAUGUUAGCGGCGGACGGGUGAGUAACACGUGGAUAACCUACCUAUAAGACUGGGAUAACUUCGGGAAACCGGAGCUAAUACCGUAUAAUAUUUUGAACCGCAUGGUUCAAAAGUGAAAGACGGUCUUGCUGUCACUUAUAGAUGGAUCCGCGCUGCAUUAGCUAGUUGGUAAGGUAACGGCUUACCAAGGCAACGAUGCAUAGCCGACCUGAGAGAGGGGUCGGCCACACUAGAACUGGGACACGGUCAAUACUCCUACGGGAGGCAGCAGUAGGGAAUCUUCCGCAGUAGGCGAGAGCAUGACGGAGCGACGCGAAGUCAGUGAUGAAGGUCUUCGGAUCGUGAUACUCUGUUAUUAGGGAAGAACAUAUGUGUAAGUAACUGUACACAUCUUGACGGUACCUAAUCAGAAAGCCACGGCUAACUACGUG